AUGGCAGAUCCUGCGCUAAUUGCAGGGCUCCACGAGAAGGUGACCCGAGUCAAAGAGAAAGUUGCCGGCCAGGCUGCUCCCUUGCUCUCACUCUGCAAUUGGCUUCUGCGAGCUCCCAUCGCUCCUUUAAGAAGCUGCCACACAAACAAGGCAGCUGCUCUGCUCCUUCCCUGAUUGCAGCCAGAGGGGGAAUGGACUCUGCGGACGGUGACACACGAUCAUUUUCAUCUACAUUUCAUUUUACAUCGGGAUUAUGAAUUGACACUGAACAGAGCAGGCUUCAUCCUGUGGCAGUUCAGUGCAUGCUUUCUGCAAAACAGACAACACAAAACACACGGGCUUUGGUCAGUGAUGGUCAUGAUCUGAUGGAGGAUGUCUCCGAUGUCCUGCUUCCUGCCGUCGCCGUCUGCCCCUUCGUGUCCGUGGGG